rnacentral:rRNA from 1 species
GAUGAACGCUGGCGGCGUGCCUAAUACAUGCAAGUCGAGCGAACAGAUAAGGAGCUUGCUCCUUUGACGUUAGCGGCGGACGGGUGAGUAACACGUGGGUAACCUACCUAUAAGACUGGGAUAACUUCGGGAAACCGGAGCUAAUACCGGAUAACAUUUGGAACCGCAUGGUUCUAAAGUGAAAGAUGUUUUUGCUAUCACUUAUAGAUGGACCCGCGCCGUAUUAGCUAGUUGGUAAGGUAACGGCUUACCAAGGCGACGAUACGUAGCCGACCUGAGAGGGGGAUCGGACACACUGGAAGUGAGACACGGUCCAGACUCCUACGGGAGGCAGCAGUAGGGAAUCUUCCGCAAUGGGCGAAAGCCUGACGGAGCAACGCCGCGUGAGUGAUGAAGGGUUUAGGAUCGUAAAACUCUGUUAUUAGGGAAGAACAAAUGUGUAAGUAACUGUGCACGUCUUGACGGUACCUAAUCAGAAAGCCACGGCUAACUACGUG